rnacentral:tRNA from 1 species
GCCUGGCUGGCUCAGUUGGUAGAGCAUGUGACUUCUGAUCUCAGUGUCAUGAGUUCAAGCCCCAUAUCGGGUG